GACGAACGCUGGCGGCGUGCUUAACACAUGCAAGUCGAACGAUGAAGCUAGAGCUUGCUCUGGUGAAUUAGUGGCGAACGGGUGAGUAACACGUGAGUAACCUGCCCCGAACUCUGGGAUAACUGCUGGAAACGGUAGCUAAUACUGGAUACGACCUACGAAGGCAUCUUCUGUAGGUGGAAAGAAUUUCGGUUCGGGAUGGACUCGCGGCCUAUCAGCUUGUUGGUGAGGUAAUGGCUCACCAAGGCGACGACGGGUAGCCGGCCUGAGAGGGUGACCGGCCACACUGGGACUGAGACACGGCCCAGACUCCUACGGGAGGCAGCAGUGGGGAAUAUUGCACAAUGGGCGCAAGCCUGAUGCAGCAACGCCGCGUGAGGGAUGACGGCCUUCGGGUUGUAAACCUCUUUUAGUAGGGAAGACGCGAAGUGACGGUACCUGCAGAAAAAGCACCGGCUAACUACGUACCAGCAGCCGCCGUAA
rnacentral:rRNA from 1 species